GACGAAGGGGGCUAGCGUUGUUCGGAAUUACUGGGCGUAAAGCGCGUGUAGGCGGCUUUGCAAGUCGGGUGUGAAAGCCCUCAGCUCAACUGAGGAAGUGCGCCCGAAACUGCAGAGCUUGAGUGCCGGAGAGGGUGGCGGAAUUCCCCAAGUAGAGGUGAAAUUCGUAGAUAUGGGGAGGAACACCGGUGGCGAAGGCGGCCACCUGGACGGUAACUGACGCUGAGACGCGAAAGCGUGGGGAGCAAACAGG
rnacentral:rRNA from 1 species